GGGUAUAGAAGUUUUCUAAACAAAGCAAUAAUUGUAGAUUUUUAUAUUUUUAUUUUUUUUUUCGAUAUCGAUCAUCUUUUAAUAAUAUCAUAUGAACAUACCCUACAAGACGGAGCUAACUCAUACACCACUACACAUGCAAUGUUUUUCAGCUUUUACCAACACAUACACAAUAAUAACUUUUUGUAGUUAAAUGGCUAUCUCGGUAGUUAGAGUGGCAACAUUCAUUAACCCUAAUUUUUGUAUGUAUGUAUAAGAGAGAGAUGCAUGUACUACAAUGAACCGUUCAAAAUAACCGCAAUGACCGCCAUUCAUAUGAAAUGGAAAUUUGAAGUGAGUGGAUGUAGGUUAGGCUAAGGUGUAGAUCUCCGCAAUUGCAGAAAUUCUCACUGAGACAAAUUCGACUGUCCAUUGUGACACCCGUGCUAAACAGUGUCUCCUAUGAUGGCCUUGAAUCUACACAAUGGAUAGUUAAAAUAAGCUGUCAUCGAUUGGAUAACUGCUAUAGACAAGGCAAUCGAACAAACUUUACAAAUUUUCAUACGAACUGGCAGCACUGAAAUCGAAUUGUCUAUACUUGGUCGCACUGAACUCUUUGACAGUUUGCUUACAAAACAAUUUAAUUUUCAAAGUUGAAAAAGACAGAAUCAUUUCAUGUUAUAAACGAAAAUGGAAAACAAUGAGUAUUUUAAUUUGGUUUCUCAGUAUUUACAAAAUGAAGAGGAGCUUAUGAUUGGGAAUGCUGGUAUACUAUCAUUUUGAGAUGAAAUGGCAUCUAGAUCCUGCUCGGAACCUUCAUCAAGCUCUGAGGAAUGGGAUAGGGAGGAAAUCAAUAAAUGCCAAAACUUUUGUGAAGUCAUUGAAGGCUAUGGCGAGAAUGAAUUCAAAUCGCACAUGCGAUUGCAGCGUUCGACCGUGGAAUUUUAAUAGGCGUGUAUUUAUGGACGUAUAUUUUCAUUUUAAUGGCUUUACAAAUUUAUUUUAAUAUUUUACAUUCAGAGGAAUAUACAAAUAGCAUUGAGCCCAAAACAAAUACUGGUGGAAGAGAAAUUGUACCACAUUGAAAAAAAAUUUAUAUUUAUAUUUCGUAUAUGAAUAACACCGUCACUUUCGGCAGCUUGCUAGUUUUUUUGGAAUGUCUUCUUCAACUGCUUGGACUAGGUAGCAUUUUAGUAGCCCCUUGGAUUCUACCAACAUCCAUGUUUUACGUUUUCUGCAACAAAUUUAAUUUUUAUUCAAGUUUUUUAUUCUAUAAAUUCAAUACAAAAAUGCUUACGAUUUAUCUUCUGCCUGCCAUUUUCAAUUACAAAUUUGUGUAUAACCAUUUUUAUUAUUUUGACAGUAAUUUGUCCUUUGAGCCAUUCACAAUAGUAAAAUGGUUCUAAAAUGUGUAAAACAAAACUUGGUAGCACUCAGCAAGCGACGAUAGAAUUUUUAAUGAGGUAUUCGCAUACUCUCCUGCACGAAUUCAACUAGAUAACUUUGUUGUUACUUUCACAUGUAAAAUUUUUGA